rnacentral:lncRNA from 1 species
AACAACUCAAUAUAACGACUCCCAAGUGUCAUCCUAUCCUUGGACAUUGCAGCUUUAGAAUCUUCUGCAUUUGUAAACUCCACAAAUGCUUCUCCACUUGGCCUCCCCUCUGAAUUCAAUACUAUAUGAACUGCAUCUUCGGAUAACACAAAAUCUUUAAAGAACUCCAUUAUAUCAUCUUUUCCAGCAGAAAAUGGCAAUCCCCUCAAUCUCAAUAUCCCUGUAUGUUCAGCAGAUUCCUUUGCUUCAUCACUAGAUUUGGCCCUUGGGGCAUUUCUGCGAGGUGAACCGCCACGAGCAUCAGCCACUUCAUUCGCUAUUGCCUUAUAAUAUUCCUGUCUCUUGCUUCUGAAAAC